rnacentral:rRNA from 1 species
UACGAAGGGGGCUAGCGUUGCUCGGAAUGACUGGGCGUAAAGGGCGCGUAGGCGGCUUGCACAGUCAGGCGUGAAAUUCCUGGGCUCAACCUGGGGACUGCGCUUGAGACGUGUGGGCUUGGGUGGGGAAGAGGGUCGUGGAAUUCCCAGUGUAGAGGUGAAAUUCGUAGAUAUUGGGAAGAACACCGGUGGCGAAGGCGGCGACCUGGUCCUUGACUGACGCUGAGGCGCGAAAGCGUGGGGAGCAAACAGG